rnacentral:rRNA from 2 species
CAUCAGUGGCAGACGGGUGAGUAACACGUGGGAACCUUCCUAGAGGUACGGAACAACUCAGGGAAACUUGAGCUAAUACCGUAUACGCUCUUGCGAGGAAAGAUUCAUCGCCUUUAGACGGGCCCGCGUCGGAUUAGCUAGUUGGUGGGGUAACGGCCUACCAAGGCGACGAUCCGUAGCUGAUCUGAGAGGAUGAUCAGCCACACUGGGACUGAGACACGGCCCAGACUCCUACGGGAGGCAGCAGUGGGGAAUCUUGGACAAUGGGCGCAAGCCUGAUCCAGCCAUGCCGCGUGAGUGAAGAAGGCCUUCGGGUUGUAAAGCUCUUUUGUCAGGGACGAUAAUGACGGUACCUGAAGAAUAAGCCCCGGCAAACUUCGUGCCAGCAGCCGCGGUAAUACGAAGGGGGCUAGCGUUGUUCGGAAUUACUGGGCGUAAAGCGCACGUAGGCUGACAUUUAAGUCAGGGGUGAAAUCCCGAGGCUCAACCUCGGAACUGCCCUUGAUA